rnacentral:lncRNA from 1 species
CUCGAAGCUUUGCUUUUUGCUGUUUGCAUGCAAAGCUUGCGUGCAAUGUGUGCUUCUGGAUUGGGGCAGCUGCUUGGAUGUGCUGUGAGUGCAAUGCUGGGGUGUGCAGGAAGCAGGAAUGGAGCAGGACUGAGCAAAUCCCCAUGGGAGGGAUUUAGGGAUCAAUAACCCAGAAAGCAAAGAGUUCAGCAAGGCUGGAAUGUGCUGACAGGAGCAAAGCGAGGGUGCAAUGAGACCAAAGGAGCAAAGAUGCUCCUCUCCCUACUGCUGGCAUGGGAUUUCGAGCAGCUCCAUUGUCACCAUCACCCCCCAGGGCCACUAUCACAGCCCCACUGUGUCCCCAUGGAUGGGGCAAUGACACACAGGGGGGUAUGGGAGACCAGCACAGGUGAGUUCCCAAUGAUGGGAGGCAAUAGACCAUCCCUCUGUUUUGCUGCCUGCAGCUUUGGAUGGGGGUUGCUGCCUUGCAAAAGGGAAGCCGUGCUCUGAGCUCUGCCUUGAUGCAUCUCUGUGCCGUUCCAAGCUUCCUUCCCAAGAACGGCCGCGCUUUAUGGACUGCUGGUAAUUGCCAAUUAAUUGCACUGCAGCCGAGGGCAGGAAAGCAGCAACACAUCCUCCAUACGGGGUGGGCAGCUUAUAGGGUUUUCUAUACCGGAGCAUCCCUGUUCUCAGCCCCUUCCAUUCAACAUGUGAUAGAUGGAUUGAUACACAGCUUUAAUCAGUGUAAUAUAGAAAGCACUUAAUUUGCCUUAUUAAAAGUCUGCACUUUGGAUUUUCAGGCUUCAGGAAAUUAACUCAAGCACCUCACCAUUUAUUUGAUUGAGUGAGAGCGAGCAUAAAUAAUUCAUGGCUUUUGCUUUGCUUUGGGUGGAAGAGCUGUAGGGGUGAUGGGGAACGAUCCUCAUUGCAGGGACAUGGCAGGGAGCAACAGAGCGACCUGUAUGGGGUGCAAUGUGCAUCCCUGCACUGCUUGCAAGCUGGCCCUUGUAGCGUGCAAUGUGCAACCUCAGAGCUGUGCGUUGCUGCCACUACGGCUUGCAUGCCUUGGUCCUUACGCUGUGCAUUGUGCAUGGGAUGGAGAUGGGUUGGGGAUGUUCACCACCACCCAGCUCUUACAUUGAGGGAUGUGCACCCCUGGGUCCUCCACCUUUUUGCUAUGGGUCCCUUUGGGACGAUGCUUUGCCAAGUUCUGGGUUGCACCGUGCCCUGUUCCUGAGCCUGGCAGUGCCGACCCCAUAGUGUGGGUGUGCAGUGCCCUCCAGCGGCCGCAGCUGUCCAGAUGU